GACGAACGCUGGCGGCGUGCUUAACACAUGCAAGUCGAACGGAAAGGCCCUGCUUUUGUGGGGUGCUCGAGUGGCGAACGGGUGAGUAACACGUGAGUAACCUGCCCUUGACUUUGGGAUAACUUCAGGAAACUGGGGCUAAUACCGGAUAGGAGCUCCUGCUGCAUGGUGGGGGUUGGAAAGUUUCGGCGGUUGGGGAUGGACUCGCGGCUUAUCAGCUUGUUGGUGGGGUAGUGGCUUACCAAGGCUUUGACGGGUAGCCGGCCUGAGAGGGUGACCGGCCACAUUGGGACUGAGAUACGGCCCAGACUCCUACGGGAGGCAGCAGUGGGGAAUAUUGCACAAUGGGCGGAAGCCUGAUGCAGCAACGCCGCGUGCGGGAUGACGGCCUUCGGGUUGUAAACCGCUUUCGCCUGUGACGAAGCGUGAGUGACGGUAAUGGGUAAAGAAGCACCGGCUAACUACGUGCCAGCAGCCGCGGUGAUACGUAGGGUGCGAGCGUUGUCCGGAUUUAUUGGGCGUAAAGGGCUCGUAGGUGGUUGAUCGCGUCGGAAGUGUAAUCUUGGGGCUUAACCCUGAGCGUGCUUUCGAUACGGGUUGACUUGAGGAAGGUAGGGGAGAAUGGAAUUCCUGGUGGAGCGGUGGAAUGCGCAGAUAUCAGGAGGAACACCAGUGGCGAAGGCGGUUCUCUGGGCCUUUCCUGACGCUGAGGAGCGAAAGCGUGGGGAGCGAACAGGCUUAGAUACCCUGGUAGUCCACGCUGUAAACGGUGGGUACUAGGUGUGGGGUCCAUUCCACGGGUUCCGUGCCGUAGCUAACGCUUUAAGUACCCCGCCUGGGGAGUACGGCCGCAAGGCUAAAACUCAAAGGAAUUGACGGGGCCCCGCACAAGCGGCGGAGCAUGCGGAUUAAUUCGAUGCAACGCGUAGAACCUUACCUGGGUUUGACAUGGAUCGGGAGUGCUCAGAGAUGGGUGUGCCUCUUUUGGGGUCGGUUCACAGGUGGUGCAUGCCUGUCGUCAGCUCGUGUCGUGAGAUGUUGGGUUAAGUCCCGCAACGAGCGCAACCCUUGUUCACUGUUGCCAGCACGUUAUGGUGGGGACUCAGUGGAGACCGCCGGGGUCAACUCGGAGAAAGGUGGGGAUGACGUCAAGUCAUCAUGCCCCUUAUGUCCAGGGCUUCACGCAUGCUACAAUGGCUGGUACAGAGAGUGGCGAGCCUGUGAGGGUGAGCGAAUCUCGGAAAGCCGGUCUCAGUUCGGAUUGGGGUCUGCAACUCGACCUCAUGAAGUCGGAGUCGCUAGUAAUCGCAGAUCAGCAACGCUGCGGUGAAUACGUUCCCGGG
rnacentral:rRNA from 1 species